UACAAAUCAAAAAUAUAGGAUAGGAUAAGAACACUUGCACUAGAUCAAUGUUGCAUUACCUUGUACAGACAGUCCCUCAUACUUGUGUCUGGGAUUAAUUAUGACUUGAACUGGUACGAGGGAUUGUCUGUAUUAGGUAACACAUCCCCUGAAAUGGUAACCAGAUUAAUAAGUAUUAAAAUGUGAAGGAAUAAUUCAAUCUAGAAAUGAAUUAGUACGGUGCCAACUAUGAACGAAUUGUGGAAAUUGUUUGGGCCUUCGGGGGCUAAUUCAAUCUCAUGGGCCAUUAAACCAUCAACUCAAUUAGUGAAAGAAUAAAUAUAUUGUUUGGUAGGGUUAGGAACUGGUGCUUUGGGUAUAGCAUAUUUCGAGGUACUUUUUGUUAGAUUGGAGCAAAUCUCUAUAAGUAAACGUUGUACAGCUUAAUCUUCGGUUUGCUGGUCUACCAGGCAAAUAGAGUAGCAUACUGUCGUAAAACAGUUAUAGCUAGAACAGGUCUUUCUUAUCUAUACUAUCACUAAUUUUCACCUUUUUUGAGAAAAGUUCGUUUAAGAAAGUUCUGUUGUAGUUGUAGGCUAGACUUAUAGAACCCUGUUUGAUUUUUGCGUGGGGAAAUAAAUAAAUAAUCUUCCUGUAACCGUGAGAAACUUAAGUUUUCCAAAACAUGCUGCAGCUAGAAGGAUUUUUCUCACUUCUGUGAGGAGUUUUCCUCCUUUGAACUAAGAAGAUGAGGUCCCGUUUGCCUACAUAACUGAGAGGUACAUGGCUGGGGAAUGCUGCAGAGACCUCCAAUUUCUCCAAAGAUUUCACCACCGCACAGUACUUCCUGGACCUAGAAUUCGUAGUUAUACAAUACAUGUCAAAUUCUGCAUUACCCUUUAACCUUUGUUCUUUAGAACAUAUGAACUUUUAUUAAGUCACCUUUUCUGUUCCAUCAAUUUCCAUCCGUUCUUCCUGCCAAACAAAAUAUCAACACUUGCAUUAGUAUCCAUGGUUGUAUAAACUGCAAAAUCAUCAUAGCAUUACAAAUUACAGUUGCACUAACCACCGCUCCUGAAACUAAUAUGUAAAUAUCUCUUGGUGCUUCAUUUUGGAGUAUGACAGCUUCUCUUGGUGGGUAGUACUCUGCUUCCAUUUCAGUUACCUAUUAUGUAGGGACAAUAUAUUAGCUCCGAGCUGUUGAUGUAUUGUAAACUUUUUUUUAUAGUUGCUCUAGCAUAGCAAAAUAAUUUCUCUCUGUUCAUACCAGUUGGAGCAUGCAAGUAAAUGAAACACCAUGGAAAAGAUAGACUUUUUUUAUAACAGGUAACUGAUUUCUUGCAGCAAAUUGAGAGGCGGCAUGGAUUGUGUCCCUCUGCAGCAUGGAAGAUGAGAAUGAUUAAGAGGUUUAACUACACCUGACAUUCCCAAAAUAGUAGGUAUGCCCUGCUUGUGAAUGGUAGAGUAUUCUUACAAUAUCGUUUUUCCAACAACUAAUCUUAUCCAAACUCCCAUUCAUGAUUCCGCAUGCAACUUUACUGUUAAUACAGUUUAUGUAAAGGAAAAAAAGAGAACUGUAUACCAUUGCUCAUAUUACUUUUAACAAAUGUCUAUGGGUGUA